UAAGUACCAUGUUUGUAGGUGCCUGGCAUUAUGCUAAGCAUUUUUAAUAUUUGCCUGGUGCAGCUGGAGAUCGUAGAAGGCUAGAGACCAGGAAGAUGGGACUCGAGCAAACCCUCCCGUCUCAUACCCCACCCUGCUGCCCCUGAACGUGCUGUACCUUUGCACACGGUCCCACGCCGGUUGUGUCCUGUCCUUCUUGGUGAUUGUCCUGCAUAGUUCACACCUCAGCUCAAACAUCACAUUCUUCGGUGAAGCCCUACCUGACUCUUCCUCUGAGCUCCCUGAGAAAUCUUUAGCCAGACCACUGGGCUGGCACCUGAUGCAUCGUCUUGUCACUACUUAGGUACAUGUCCCACUAGUUAGUGAAUUUCUGGACAUAAAGGAUUUUGUCUUUCACCUUGGACUCUCCAACAGCUAACACCCCAUCAAGUACGGUGGACCCACCCAGUAAAUACAUGAUGAACAAAUGAAUAAGGGCAUGCUUUGGAUUUUUCAAGGAAUGAAUAGUUCAGAAAAUAAGAAAGGGAUGAUGCAGCCUUUGGAAUAAAACUACAGGGAACUAACGUGUGGGCACUUAUUUAAUACUAAGUAGACCAUAUUUAUAUGGGGAAAACGUUAGCUGUGAAAAGCACAAUUUUAUUGUGUUCUUGAAUUAAUGUGAAAGUAAAUUAUUGGAUGGAAUGAGGCAAAUAAUCCCAGACCAUUUCUUUCAUUUGGGCUUACCUUAACUAAAACUGCCACAAUGAAUAAAGCCCCAGUGUCUAUUUGGGUAGUUUCAAAAAUACAAAGUACUUUUUGCACCACGACUUACUUAUUCACAUUUUCUCAGUGCCUAAUAGAUCACGCAGUGUCUUCAUUCCCCAGAACUAGAUUAUUUUCCACCCACAGAUCCAUCAUAGGCAGAGCUUUACUUAUUUUUCUUCUAAGAGUGUGUAAGGUGAUUUCUCAUUACUCACUUAGGAUGUGCCUGUUUAUUAGGUGGGGAGAGAGAGGUACUGCAGAAGAAAUGAAAAAGAGAAAGAAAAUAACAGGAGGUUUCAAAAUAUCAGGAAUUUACCUAAUCUCAAGGUUGACUUCAUUUUCCACAAAGGAAGAACAUGAUUAGUUAGUAAUGAUAACCAGCUCUAUUUAUUUACAAAUAUGUACUGAGUGGGCGAUUUUCAUGUGAUGCGUUGUCUAAUGGGGAACACGGACAGGUGAAGGGCUUUCAACCUAUAGUGCAAUAAGCUUGUAGCCACAGAGCAUAUUAGCAGUAUCCAGAGACCUCUAGGUUGAGGUCUGGAGGAUGAGUUGGAGCAGAGUUCACUGGAGAGAAGAGAAGGUAGGAGGUGGUGUGCAGUUCUGCAAGAGAAGUGACAGUGAUCUGAAUUAAGGAGUUGCAGUGACUACGAAAAAAAGAGGUGGACUAAAUUUAAGAGAGAUACAAGAUGUGUGUUUCAUAGGAUUUGGCAUCUUAUUGCAUAUAAGAAGUAAGAAUGAGGGAGGGGAUAAGGAUGCGAUCAACAUUACUGGCUCAGGCAAAAGACACAUCUACCGGAACAGCGAAAAUAGGACUGAGAGGAAGUUUCGUUAGGUGACAGAGUUCAUUGUUGGGAGUACUGAGUGUCAUGUGCACCAGGAGAGAUCCAAAAAGAGAUAUUUAUAUAUAGGUUGUAUAUAUAAAUAUACACACAC
ensembl:lncRNA